AGGACGAACGCUGGCGGCGUGCUUAACACAUGCAAGUCGAACGGUGAUCUUGGGGCUUGCCUCGGGUGAUCAGUGGCGAACGGGUGAGUAACACGUGAGUAACCUGCCCCUGGCUCUGGGAUAACUACCGGAAACGGAAGCUAAUACCGGAUAUGACACAGACAGGCAUCUGUUCUGUGUGGAAAGUUUUUCGGCCAGGGAUGGACUCGCGGCCUAUCAGCUUGUUGGUGGGGUAAUGGCCCACCAAGGCGACGACGGGUA
rnacentral:rRNA from 1 species